rnacentral:tRNA from 1 species
UCGACUAUAACCCUUAGCCUUCCAAGCUAAUGAUGCGGGUUCGAUUCCCGCUACCCGCU